rnacentral:rRNA from 1 species
GAAUAGCUUGCUAGUUGUAUUCUUAGUGGCGCACGGGUGAGUAACACGUGAGUAACAUGCCUCGCAGAGGGGAAUAGCCCGCCGAAAGGCGGAUUAAUACCCCAUGGUCCCGCAAGGGUAAAGGUGGCUUCGGCUGCCGCUGCGAGAUUGGCUCGCGUCCUAUCAGCUUGUUGGUGAGGUAACGGCUCACCAAGGCGACGACGGGUAGCUGGUCUGAGAGGACGAUCAGUCACACUGGAACUGAGACACGGUCCAGACACCUACGGGUGGCAGCAGUCGAGAAUAAUUCACAAUGGGCGAAAGCCUGAUGGUGCAACGCCGCGUGGAGGAUGAAGGCCCUAGGGUCGUAAACUCCUGUCAUUUGAGAGUAAGACCUGGGUGUUAAUAGCACACAGGGUUGAUAGUAUCGAAAGAGGAAGGGACGGCUAACUUCGUGCCAGCAGCCGCGGUAAUACGAAGGUCCCGAGCGUUGUUCGGAAUCACUGGGCGUAAAGGGAGCGUAGGCGGUUUGGUAAGUCAGAUGUGAAAUCCCGGGGCUCAACCCCGGAACUGCAUCCGAUACUGCCUGACUUGAGUAAUGGAGGGGUAACCGGAAUUCUCGGUGUAGCAGUGAAAUGCGUGGAUAUCGAGAGGAACACUCGUGGGCGAAGGCGGGUUACUGGACAUUUACUGACGCUGA